rnacentral:lncRNA from 1 species
AGGAAGAAAGGAAAUGGGCAAUGGCCGGUGGUUGCUAGAAUCGCUGGAUUCUUUUUUUGUUUCUUCCCUUUUUUCUCAACUCAAUUUUUUUCUUCUCGAGUUAGCUAAAAGAAGGGGUUUUCAACCCAAAAAAGAAAAAAAAAUUGACAUAAAUUUCGCCCUUCCCCAGAUCUGAAUAUCCAAAAAGGGGCCUGUGUUUUUUCCUUUUGGCAGAUGAAGACGGAAGAAGGGGGUACCUAUGUUUUUUUCGCAUUGAUUUUGUUCAAUUUGGACGGCUGGAACCCAAUUUCAGGCUAACUGAAGCUCACCGGAGUUCUGUAGAAUGUCGGAUCAAAUUUUAAUAGUGGGAUGGUCUAAAAUUUGUGGAAAGUUAGAUUUGAAGGUGGAGAACAAUCUUCAUUAUUUGGAAUUUUCUGAUUUUGCCCAAAAUUGAGCUGGAAAGAAAUGGCUAGAAAUGAUUUUUUCGGGCGAUGAGUGAUAGUUAGGAAAGAUGACAAAGCGAAUCCAU